AGCAGCCGCGGUAAUUCCAGCUCCAAUAGCGUAUAUUAAAGUUGUUGCAGUUAAAAAGCUCGUAGUUGAAUUUCGGGAUCAAUUAAUUGGUCGUGCCUCUGGUACGUACUGGUUUUAUUGGUUUCUCCCUUCUGACGAACCAUGAUGUCAUUAAUUUGGUGUCGUGGAGAACCAGGACUGUUACUUUGAAAAAAUUAGAGUGUUUAAAGCAAGCUAACGCUUGAAUACAUUAGCAUGGAAUAAUGAAAUAGGACGUUUGAUCCUAUUUUGUUGGUUUCUAGGAUCGACGUAAUGAUUAAUAGGGAUAGUUGGGGGCAUUAGUAUUCAAUUGUCAGAGGUGAAAUUCUUGGAUUUAUUGAAGACUAACUACUGCGAAAGCAUUUGCCAAGGAUGUUUUCAUUAACCAAGAACGAAAGUUAGGGGAUCGAAGACGAUCAGAUACCGUCGUAGUCUUAACCAUAAACUAUGCCGACUAGGGAUCGGAUGAUGUUAAUUUUUUAAUGACUCAUUCGGCGCCUUA
rnacentral:misc_RNA from 1 species